AUUAAGUUGGGGACUCUAGCGAGACUGCCAGUGAGUAAACUGGAGGAAGGUGGGGAUGACGUCAAAUCAUCAUGCCCCUUAUGACCUGGGCUACAAACGUGAUACAAUGGCUGAAACAAAGGGCAGCGAAGGAGCGAUCUGGAGCGAAACCCAAAAAGCAGUCUCAGUUCGGAUUGAAGUCUGCAACUCGACUUCAUGAAGUCGGAAUCGCUAGUAAUCGCGGAUCAGAACGCCGCGGUGAAUACGUUCUCGGGGUUU
rnacentral:rRNA from 1 species